rfam:Aedes aegypti strain Liverpool supercont1.330 genomic scaffold, whole genome shotgun sequence.
CGUUCUGUGGCGUAGUUGGUUAACGCGCCCAGUCUAGCGUAUUAGGAGUCGUGGGAUCGAACCCCACCAGAACGA